CUCGAGGAUGAAUAAAGUUCAAGUUUGGGGGUGUGAUGAACACUUGAAUUAGAUCACUAAAGGUACUAAAUAUUGUAAUAACUAAUAUUAUUUUAUAAGAAUUUGAUACUCUCUAGUCUAUUUUGUAGGUGAUUAAAAGUUUGGAUUCAUACGAUUUAUAUUGGACUCAAAUCAGAUUAGAUUUGAGUAAACCAAGCAACCAGCUCUCAUUCCAGUGUGAAUGCGACUUAAAGAUCAAGGGUCA
rnacentral:lncRNA from 1 species